GAUGAACGCUGGCGGCGUGCCUAAUACAUGCAAGUCGAGCGAACAGACUAGGAGCUUGCUCCUCUGACGUUAGCGGCGGACGGGUGAGUAACACGUGGAUAACCUACCUAUAAGACUGGGAUAACUUCGGGAAACCGGAGCUAAUACCGGAUAAUAUAUUGAACCGCAUGGUUCAAUAGUGAAAGACGGUUUUGCUGUCACUUAUAGAUGGAUCCGCGCCGCAUUAGCUAGUUGGUAAGGUAACGGCUUAUCAAGGCAACGAUGCGUAGCCGACCUGAGAGGGUGAUAGGCCACACUGGAACUGAGACACGGUCCAGACUCCUACGGGAGGCAGAAGUAGGGAAUCUUCCGCAAUGGGCGAAAGCCUGACGGAGCAACGACGCGUGAGUGAUGAAGGUAUUCGGAUCGUAAAACUCUGUUAUUAGGGAAGAACAAAUGUGUAAGUAACUAUGCACGUCUUGACGGUACCUAAUCAGAAAGCAACGGCUAACUACGUG
rnacentral:rRNA from 1 species